AGUGAACGCUGGCGGUAGGCCUAACACAUGCGAGUCGAACGGCAGCACAGUAAGAGCUUGCUCUUACGGGUGGCGAGUGGCGGACGGGUGAGGAAUACAUCGGAAUCUACUUUUUCGUGGGGGAUAACGUAGGGAAACUUACGCUAAUACCGCAUACGACCUACGGGUGAAAGCAGGGGAUCUUCGGACCUUGCGCGAUUGAAUGAGCCGAUGUCGGAUUAGCUAGUUGGCGGGGUAAAGGCCCACCAAGGCGACGAUCCGUAGCUGGUCUGAGAGGAUGAUCAGCCACACUGGAACUGAGACACGGCCCAGACUCCUACGGGAGGCAGCAGUGGGGAAUAUUGGACAAUGGGCGCAAGCCUGAUCCAGCCAUACCGCGUGGGUGAAGAAGGCCUUCGGGUUGUAAAGCCCUUUUGUUGGGAAAGAAAAGCAGCAGGUUAAUACCCCGCUGUUCUGACGGUACCCAAAGAAUAAGCACCGGCUAACUUCGUG
rnacentral:rRNA from 1 species